UACGUAGGGUGCGAGCGUUGUCCGGAAUUAUUGGGCGUAAAGGGCUCGUAGGCGGUUUGUCGCGUCGGGAGUGAAAACCAGGUGCUUAACACCUGGCUUGCUUUCGAUACGGGCAGACUAGAGGUAUUCAGGGGAGAACGGAAUUCCUGGUGUAGCGGUGAAAUGCGCAGAUAUCAGGAAGAACACCAAUGGCGAAGGCAGCUCUCUGGGACGGUACUGACGCUGAGACGCGAAAGCGUGGGGAGCGAACAGG
rnacentral:rRNA from 1 species